AUUGAACGCUGGCGGAAUGCUUUACACAUGCAAGUCGAACGGCAGCACGGGGGCAACCCUGGUGGCGAGUGGCGAACGGGUGAGUAAUACAUCGGAACGUGCCCAGUCGUGGGGGAUAACGUAGCGAAAGCUACGCUAAUACCGCAUACGAUCUACGGAUGAAAGCGGGGGACUCGCAAGGGCCUCGCGCGAUUGGAGCGGCCGAUGGCAGAUUAGGUAGUUGGUGGGGUAAAGGCNCACCAAGCCGACGAUCUGUAGCUGGUCUGAGGGGACGACCAGCCACACUGGGACUGAGACACGGCCCAGACUCCUACGGGAGGCAGCAGUGGGGAAUUUUGGACAAUGGGCGCAAGCCUGAUCCAGCCAUUCCGCGUGCAGGAUGAAGGCCCUCGGGGUUGUAAACUGCUUUUUGUACGGAACGAAAAGGCGCCGGUUAAUACCUGGCGCUGAUGACGGUACCGUAAGAAUAAGCACCGGCUAACUACGUGCCAGCCGCCGCCGUAAG
rnacentral:rRNA from 1 species